AGCGGCGCACGGGUGAGUAACACGUGGGAACGUGCCCAUCGGUUUGGAAUAACUCAGGGAAACUUGAGCUAAUACCAAAUACGCCCCAAGGGGGAAAGAUUUAUCGCCGAUGGAGCGGCCCGCGUCCGAUUAGCUUGUUGGUGAGGUAAAAGCUUACCAAGGCGACGAUCGGUAGCUGGUUUGAGAGAACGAUCAGCCACACUGGGACUGAGACACGGCCCAGACUCCUACGGGAGGCAGCAGUGGGGAAUCUUGGACAAUGGGCGCAAGCCUGAUCCAGCCAUGCCGCGUGAGUGAUGAAGGCCCUAGGGUUGUAAAACUCUUUCGGCGGGGACGAUAAUGACGGUACCCGCAGAAGAAGCUCCGGCUAACUUCGUGCCAGCAGCCGCGGUAAUACGAAGGGGGCUAGCGUUGUUCGGAAUUACUGGGCGUAAAGCGCGCGCAGGCGGUUCUUCAAGCCAGAGGUGAAAGCCCCGAGCUCAACUCGGGAAUUGCCUUUGAGACUGAGGGACUUGGGUACGGGAGAGGUGAGUGGAAUUCCGAGUGUAGAGGUGAAAUUCGUAGAUAUUCGGAAGAACACUAGUGGCGAAGGCGGCUCACUGGCUCGUUACUGACGCUCAGGCGCGACAGCGUGGGGAUCAAACAGGAUUAGAUACCCUGGUAGUCCACGCCGUAAACGAUGGAUGCUAGC
rnacentral:rRNA from 1 species